rnacentral:rRNA from 1 species
GACGAACGCUGGCGGCGUGCCUAAUACAUGCAAGUCGAACGCAGUGGGGACGGGUGAGUAACACGUGGGUAACCUCCCAUCAGGGGGGAUAACACUUGGAAACAGGUGCUAAACCGAUACUGAUGGAUGGACCCGCGGUGCAUUAGCUUGUUGGUGGGGUAACGGCUCACCAAGGCAACGAUGCAUAGCCGACCAUAUAGGGGGAUGAUCCACAAUGGGACUGAGACACGGCCCAGAGUCCGAACUUGUUCAUCAGGAUAAAAUCUUCGGCAAUGGACGAAAGUCUGACCGAGCAACGCCGCGUGAGUGAAGAAGGUUUUCGGAUCGUAAAACUCUGUUGUUAGAGAAGCGGUAUCUAACCAGAAAGCCACGGCUAACUACUUGCCAGCAGCCGCGGUAAUAC